rnacentral:siRNA from 1 species
AGGAUGCUGAAACAAGGUGUGA